rnacentral:misc_RNA from 1 species
CUGUCGAUCAGCUGGACUGGGAAAU